GCCCUAGUGGCACAGUGGUUUAGUGCUCGGCUGCUAACCAAAAGGUUGGUGGUUCAAAUCCACCAGGCG
rfam:Loxodonta africana unplaced genomic scaffold scaffold_7, whole genome shotgun sequence.